UGGGGAAUUUUUGUCAAUGGGGGAAACCCUGAACAAGCAACGCCGCGUGGAGGACGAAGGCCUUCGGGUUGUAAACUCCUGUCGGAGGGGACGAAGGCGAUCGAGAUCAAUACCCUCGGUCGUUGACGGUACCCUACGAGGAAGCCCCGGCUAACUCCGUGCCAGCAGCCGCGGUAAUACGGGGGGGGCGAGCGUUGUUCGGAAUUACUGGGCGUAAAGGGCGCGUAGGCGGCGCGAGAAGUUCCGGGUGAAAGCCCCCGGCUCAACCGGGGAAGGGCCUGGAAAACCAUCGCGCUGGAGUGCCGGAGAGGCAAGCGGAAUUUCUGGUGUAGCGGUGAAAUGCGUAGAUAUCAGAAGGAACACCUGCGGCGAAGGCGGCUUGCUGGACGGACACUGACGCUGAGGCGCGAAAGCCAGGGGAGCAA
rnacentral:rRNA from 1 species